GGGGUAAGACAGAGGGGCGGAAGGAGAUCCUUUCUGGUCUCAUUACGCCUUUUAAAGGUCCCCGAUUUGUUUUGUUUUCGCUGUUUUGAAAAGUCCGCCCAAAGUAGCCGGCUCUCUGAUUGGAUGCGGGUGGGGCGAGGGGAAUGCUGAGGACCUGAUUCACCCUCGAAUCUGGAUUGGCUAACUUAUCAGUCUUGGAGCCCUCUGAUUGGCUUUCUCCGUAGCCUGAGCCUCUCUCUGCCUUGGGGCCUUAGCAACUCCAGGGUCUGGAUUGCGCAUGCCUGGGUGGGCAGCGGGGAAGGUAUUUAGUUACCUGCCCUGCGGGGCUGUGCCUUAUCGCCUGGCUGCCUCCGCCCUUCUCGGGGGAAUGUCACCCUCGCGGCGCUUCUCCUAAGAGCUAACCUUUGUGACAGCCUUUUCAGCCACGGGAGAGUUUUCUACAUUCCUUGUUUAUUUUGUCUUGCCGUUCCAUUUUGCAAUAACCCACCAAAUUAUUAUAACAUUGUCGGGGCGUUUACUAAAAUAUUCAAUAAAUGCUACAAAUUUAGGUAUUUGUUUUAAAAUUUUCCAAUCCAAGAGAAAAAAAAAUGGAGAAGAGAGGUGAAACAAGAUAGGCAAAAAGUCGAGGGUCGAAGCUGGGCGACGGGUACUCGAGGCUUCAUUACAGUAUUCUUUCUACUUCUGUGUGUCUUGGAAUUUUUCCAUAAUUUAAAAAAAUUCGGGAGGGACUGAAGGAGAGGCUUUUUAAUAAAAACUUAGCACGCUGAUGAGGGUACGUAAAUAUCUAAUAAUUACGGCGUACCUCCAGAGGUUGUAGUGCUGUUGUUUCAGUGAAGACUCCCGGAGCUUCUUGGUCCUUGGUAACCCAUAAAUUAUCAUUUAUUGUUCAUUAUAAUUAGCGUUGUUAUUAUAGGCGACACCUCUCCUAGGACGGGACAAAAAGCAAACCAACCAGGUGCCUUAGGCCAGAGACACUUUCACACGGAAUAUCAAUGGGGGAUGUGGUUGACUCCCCUGGAACAUUUAUUUGUUUACUCUCUCCCUCCUAAAUUAGAAAAUACCAUAUUCGUGGGUUCUAAACUACAUAAUCAGAUAGCCCCUGGGAACAGAUUUCUCUUUCCUGUUCUUCUGUAUGUUUUCUGUGAAUUAUUUUGUUACUUGUGAAAUAUGGGAAGGCACACAACAUAGCUUUGGCAGCGCUCUUCUUUGCAGAACAGCUAAGGAAUUUUAAAAGUAGGUCCCUUUGCAUAUUAGCUCGGACUAAACACAGGCAUCUGUUUGGAGCACAGAGCAACUGGGGGAAGGGAACCCAAAAAGCUAACACUUAUUUCAGAGAGGUGUGAGCUUGGUGAGCGUUUUGGAAAAUAAGAUAAAAUUAGCACACUAGUUUUAAAUGAUUUACAGGCUACAUAAUUUCAUCCAAUGCUUGUUUUAUCUUUUAAAUAUUAAGUGAUAACUUUUAUUUGACAUAAUCAUCUUGCUGGAAAUCUAUGCUGAUAAACAUAAUAGGAACUUGAAACUAACUUGGAGACUAGAGCUAAGAUUAAAAUUACAGAGAUGACAGCUCAUUGUACAGCGCAUCAAAAGGCUGAGUGAACAGGGCCCACAAACAGAAAGCAGCUCGACCAUCACCAUCAAGCAGCUUGACUAUCCACCAUCAGAGAAAUGAGAGUUUGUGAUCAAAGCAUGAAGGAGACUGGGGAUGUUUUUUUCAAGUAAGAAGGCAAAGACAGCCUCUUGAAUGAUGUGAACAGUGAUGGCUUUCUCCGAGAGUAAGACAAGAAAGCUUUGUAAAUGGCGUUGAAUUUCCUGCUCUUGGCAGGCCCUGCUCAGCACAGAAGAAAAGACUAUCAGGUUGUCCAAGAUGGAGCCCUUUAUCCACGGUAGUCCACUUGUCUCUUUAAGAUUAAAGGAAAGCAGUCAUUAAAAAUACAGAUCCAGUAGUUAUUAAUACAGCAUCCUCUUUUUUAAACACCUCAUUUUAAGGAUGAUGAUAUUCUUGGGAAAUGGGCUGGGGGAUUAUGUAGGUUUUCUCUGUUUACUUUGCAGAAAUUUUUGUUUGUUAAUAUAUCUUUCAAAAAAAAAUCUCUUCAUUGUAUUUGUCCUUAUCACAUUGGCUUACCUUGCUGGAGCUGAAAGUGUUAUUUACGAAAAAGACAUUAUUCCCCUUAGGCUAAUCAGGCUUUACACAUUAGCCUUUCCCGAGCUUUCUGGAAGGCAAAUUUCCUGUAUCAUGCACACAUACAAAAUAAGGAAAUCAGAAACCUGGCAACCCCCAAGAACUUCCAGACAAUUUAAGAUACUUGGUUUUCUACAGCACGUGGUAGGGGGUGCAGUGGGGUUGGGUGAUACUGUCACCAAUAACCCCAUGAAGGCCUGAUCCUUAGUGACAUGUGAGACUGAAACUAAAAGGUGCUCACAGAAUGGGUAAUAAGCAGGGAGUGCCCACACAGAAACAAUGACUACAUUCAGUGAAUCCCUGACUCCUGACAAGUGUCCUGCAAACCUGCUCACACUUAAGCUUCUACCUUGAAAAUAGGGCACUCUCAUGGGACAGUUGCAGUGCUUCCCUAAAUGACAGACUUCCCUGAACUUCAUACGGCAUCAAAAUUGCUACAACUUUCCAAAUAUCAUCUUUCUCCUCAAAGAUAUAGUUUUUGACAAUAAAUCCUAGCUUUUUAUUCAAUCAAAAGUUAGUGAAUACACACUGAGUGCCAGGCAUGCUACUAGGCACCAGGGAUACAAAAAUACAUAAAUAAAACAAGGCCCCAGAAUAUACCCUGGUAUGUCUGAGGUGUAGGGCAAAAGCACUGGCCAUAGAUCAAACUGGCUUUGUGUCUCAGCUUUCCUACUCAUUAGAGAUGGUGCCUUGAAUACCUUGAAUAAUUCCCAUGGUCUUGAGCCUCAGCUUUCUAACCUGAGGAAAACAAAAAGCCAGAGGUAGUUGUGUCUGCUUCAUAUGUGAUGACUGAAUACAAACAUUUGUGAAAGCAACUAGCUAUAUAUUUCUAGGCUGCAGCAUGUUGUGACUUCAUGAAGGGAAAGGAAGGGAUCAUCCCUAACCUCAUCAAAGAAGUCUGGUGGAAAGCAGCCCUGAAAGGGAAGAACCUGAGGAUAAGGAUGUGUAAAACUGACAUGAGGCCAUACUCCCCCUCCCCGUCUACUCAUUAUUGCUGGGUCUCUGCCUGAGCUGUUUUCUGUCAUUAGGCUGAGCACAGUGGUUCACACCUGGAAUCCCAGCACUUUGGGAGGCUGAGGUGGGAGGAUCACUUGAGCCCAGGAGUUCAAGACCAGCCUGGGCAACAUAGUGAGACUUAAUCUCUACAGAAAAUUUUAAAAAUUAUCUGGGUGUGGUGGCAUGCACCUGUAGUCCCAGCUACAUGUGAGCCUGAGGCAAGAAGAUUGCUUGAGCCUGAGAGGUCUAUGCUACAGUGAGCCAUGAUCAUGUCACUGCACUCUGGCCUGGGCAACAGAGCAAAACUCUGUCUCAGAAAAAAAAAAAAGUGGUUUGCAGCCCCAAACUUCCUGCUUAGAUAAGCACUCCUUCACAGAACCUGCAAUGGAGACAGGAAUACCUCUCCGAGGAAGAGGAACAGGGAUGGUAUAGCAUAGUAGCACAGGGUGCCACUUGAAGUGAUGCAGAUUUUUCAACCAAGAGCUCAUUUUUAAAUCAGAACCUGGAAGAAUGAGAUGAUUUAUAUAGCAGAUGAUUAAUCCUUUUCUUCAAGCAAUCAGCAGAAUAAGUCAGUGAGGCAUCUCAUAUAUUCUUCUUUCUGGGUUUCCCACAAACAAGAUCACCUCAAAUUUGAAAUCAACGUUUUACAAUCCAUGUACUAUAUAUUUUGUUGCUUUUGUUGUUAAUGCUAGAAGCAUGCCCUGUUUUUUUGGAAGUGUGUUUAUGCAAGGGUUGGCCAUAUUCAUAAACAUUCAUAGUGUUUAUCUAUGUAGGGUUGGCUUUGGAAUUGUGGAAAUUAUCCACACUGUAGACACCAUCUGAAUGACUACAGCAAGAGGACCAGUUUUUCCAGCCAGCCAGUUUAGUCCCUCCCAGUUCUACUAGCCUGCAAGAGAGUUAGCCUUGUAGGAACUAUCUCUGCAACCUGAGAACUUGAGAACUAAAUGCUCGGUUGAUUCUGAAGCCUGAUUCAGUACUUUGUUAUCCAGUGCUCUCUCUUUUACACGAAGAAUCAACUGAAAUAAACGAAGUAGCUUUGACAUGAUGUGAAAAGGCUGGCAAAGGAGAGUGAACUGAGAAUUCGGCAAUGCCUGAAAUCAGAACUAAUCAUCUCAAAAUCAUCUUAAAAUAUAUUUUAAGUGGCUCAGGCUACAUUCUGGAAAAUUGUACAUGAUUCUUUAUGUAACACAUUUUCGUUUCAUGGUUUGUUUCAAGAACCAUGACCUAACUCGGAUUUCCUGUCUUUUCUUGACAUCACAGUGCUAUAUGAAGUUGACACUGUCAGCAAAGAGUAACUUAGGAUACAUCUGUUGAAUAUAUCAUCUUAUGUCCAAAAGAAGUUUUACUGUCUGUGAGAGUCAUGAUCUCUUUUUUUUAUCUCAAAUAAAAAGGCAAUUGAUGUUUAAAGUGA